rnacentral:rRNA from 1 species
AGAGUUUGAUCAUGGCUCAGGACGAACGCUGGCGGCGUGCUUAACACAUGCAAGUCGAGCGGAAAGGCCACUUCGGUGGUACUCGAGCGGCGAACGGGUGAGUAACACGUGAGUAAUCUGCCCCCCACUUUGGGAUAGCCACCGGAAACGGUGAUUAAUACCGGAUAUGACCCGUGACCGCAUGGUUGUGGGUGGAAAGUUUUUCGGUGGGGGAUGUGCUCGCGGCCUAUCAGCUUGAUGGUGGGGUAAUGGCCUACCAUGGCUUCGACGGGUAGCCGGCCUGAGAGGGUGACCGGCCACACUGGGACUGAGACACGGCCCAGACUCCUACGGGAGGCAGCAGUGGGGAAUAUUGGACAAUGGGCGGAAGCCUGAUCCAGCAACGCCGCGUGAGGGAUGACGGCCUUCGGGUUGUAAACCUCUUUCAGUACCGACGAAGCGAAAGAGACGGUAGGACAGAAGAAGCACCGCCAAUACG